UUAAAGAGUUGGAGAGUAUUAAAGAACAGUGUGAUUGGAAGAAGGAUGAUGGAGGAUGUUGAUGGAGAGUGGUGAAGAAGAUGAUUGGAGAAGAUUGAAGAAUGUGAAAGAAUGGAUCCAGAGCCUCAAAUGGUGAAGCAAGCUAUGAUUUUAUAGUAGUGGAGGAGAUUCAAUUUCUGAGGUUAUUAGCGGAUAUUUGUGGCCAUUGAAGACAGUUAGUAGGUUCAAUGAUGAGGUUAUUUGGAGAACAAGCACAUGGUUUGAAGAAUGAAGGUGGAAGAAAUGAAGAGAAAUAGGUUU